rnacentral:rRNA from 1 species
AGAUUGAACGCUGGCGGCAUGCCUUACACAUGCAAGUCGAACGGCAGCACGGGAGCAAUCCUGGUGGCGAGUGGCGAACGGGUGAGUAAUACAUCGGAACGUGCCCAAUCGUGGGGGAUAACGCAGCGAAAGCUGUGCUAAUACCGCAUAAGAUCUACGGAUGAAAGCAGGGGAUCGCAAGACCUUGCGCGAAUGGAGCGGCCGAUGGCAGAUUAGGUAGUUGGUGAGGUAAAGGCUCACCAAGCCUUCGAUCUGUAGCUGGUCUGAGAGGACGACCAGCCACACUGGGACUGAGACACGGCCCAGACUCUACGGGAGCAGCGAGUGGGUAAUUUGGACAAGUGGGCGAAAGCCUAGA